GGCUGGUCCCAGUGCGGUGGUGUUUACAACUAAUUGAUCACAACUAGUUACAGAUUUAUUUGUUCCUUCUCCACUCCCACUGCUUUACUUGACUAGACUUAA
rnacentral:Y_RNA from 1 species